UUUAUGGAGAGUUUGAUCCUGGCUCAGGAUGAACGCUGGCGGCGUGCCUAAUACAUGCAAGUCGAGCGAACGGACGAGAAGCUUGCUUCUCUGAUGUUAGCGGCGGACGGGUGAGUAACACGUGGAUAACCUACCUAUAAGACUGGGAUAACUUCGGGAAACCGGAGCUAAUACCGGAUAAUAUUUUGAACCGCAUGGUUCAAAAGUGAAAGACGGUCUUGCUGUCACUUAUAGAUGGAUCCGCGCUGCAUUAGCUAGUUGGUAAGGUAACGGCUUACCAAGGCAACGAUGCAUAGCCGACCUGAGAGGGUGAUCGGCCACACUGGAACUGAGACACGGUCCAGACUCCUACGGGAGGCAGCAGUAGGGAAUCUUCCGCAAUGGGCGAAAGCCUGACGGAGCAACGCCGCGUGAGUGAUGAAGGUCUUCGGAUCGUAAAACUCUGUUAUUAGGGAAGAAUAUAUGUGUAAGUAACUGUGCACAUCUUGACGGUACCUAAUCAGAAAGCCACGGCUAACUACGUGCCAGCAGCCGCGGUAAUACGUAGGUGGCAAGCGUUAUCCGGAAUUAUUGGGCGUAAAGCGCGCGUAGGCGGUUUUUUAAGUCUGAUGUGAAAGCCCACGGCUCAACCGUGGAGGGUCAUUGGAAACUGGAAAACUUGAGUGCAGAAGAGGAAAGUGGAAUUCCAUGUGUAGCGGUGAAAUGCGCAGAGAUAUGGAGGAACACCAGUGGCGAAGGCGACUUUCUGGUCUGUAACUGACGCUGAUGUGCGAAAGCGUGGGGAUCAAACAGGAUUAGAUACCCUGGUAGUCCACGCCGUAAACGAUGAGUGCUAAGUGUUAGGGGGUUUCCGCCCUUAGUGCUGCAGCUAACGCAUUAAGCACUCCGCCUGGGGAGUACGACCGCAAGGUUGAAACUCAAAGGAAUUGACGGGGACCCGCACAAGCGGUGGAGCAUGUGGUUUAAUUCGAAGCAACGCGAAGAACCUUACCAAAUCUUGACAUCCUUUGACAACUCUAGAGAUAGAGCCUUCCUCUUCGGGGGACAAAGUGACAGGUGGUGCAUGGUUGUCGUCAGCUCGUGUCGUGAGAUGUUGGGUUAAGUCCCGCAACGAGCGCAACCCUUAAGCUUAGUUGCCAUCAUUAAGUUGGGCACUCUAAGUUGACUGCCGGUGACAAACCGGAGGAAGGUGGGGAUGACGUCAAAUCAUCAUGCCCCUUAUGAUUUGGGCUACACACGUGCUACAAUGGACAAUACAAAGGGCAGCGAAACCGCGAGGUCAAGCAAAUCCCAUAAAGUUGUUCUCAGUUCGGAUUGUAGUCUGCAACUCGACUACAUGAAGCUGGAAUCGCUAGUAAUCGUAGAUCAGCAUGCUACGGUGAAUACGUUCCCGGGUCUUGUACACACCGCCCGUCACACCACGAGAGUUUGUAACACCCGAAGCCGGUGGAGUAACCUUUUAGGAGCUAGCCGUCGAAGGUGGGACAAAUGAUUGGGGUGAAGUCGUAACAAGGUAGCCGUAUCGGAAGGUGCGGCUGGAUCACCUCCUUUCU
rnacentral:rRNA from 1 species